AAGUCGUACGAGAAAUCCUUAGCUUGCUAAGGAGAGUAAAGUGGCGCACGGGUGAGUAACGCGUGGGUAAUCUACCCUCGAGUUCGGAAUAACUUCGCGAAAGCGGGGCUAAUACCGGAUAAUAUUGAUUGAUCUUCGGAAAUUUUGAUCAAAGGUGGCCUCUACAUGUAAGCUUCCACUUGGGGAUGAGCUCGCGUACCAUUAGCUUGUUGGUAGGGUAAUGGCCUACCAAGGCAACGAUGGUUAGCUGGUCUGAGAGGAUGAUCAGCCACACUGGAACUGACACACGGUCCAGACUCCUACGGGAGGCAGCAGUGAGGAAUUUUGCGCAAUGGGGGAAACCCUGACGCAGCAACGCCGCGUGAGUGAUGAAGGCUUUCGGGUCGUAAAGCUCUGUCAAGUGGGAAGAAAAUACAAAUUGCUAAUACCCUUUUGUACUGACGGUACCACUGAAGGAAGCACCGGCUAACUCCGUGCCAGCAGCCGCGGUAAUACGGGGGGUGCAAGCGUUAUUCGGAUUUACUGGGCGUAAAGGGCGCGCAGGCGGUCUCUUAAGUCAGAUGUGAAAGCCCGGGGCUUAACCCCGGAAGUGCAUCUGAAACUGGGGGACUUGAGUAUGGGAGAGGGAAGUGGAAUUCCUGGUGUAGCGGUGAAAUGCGUAGAUAU
rnacentral:rRNA from 1 species